CCUUAAUUUAAAAAAAAAAUCCUUUCCCUUCUCCUUUUUUUCCUCUGAAUGCAACCCAGGGUCCAACUAUAGGGCUGUCGGGAGCCCGUCAUGGUCACCGGUCAUCGGCAACUGCGACCGUCGGCUCUAGUGGCUGAAAUUACAAAAACGAGCCCUUUCAGUCCCUCUUCGGCCCAAAUCUGAAAGCAAGCCUUUUGUUCGAAAAAAAAGAAACCUUUAGCCGCUCUACCUAGCUGAUGCACGCCUUUCACACCUUAUUCCGUCGAAGCCCAUGCCAAACCCUAAAAGGUUCUGGGGUUUUCGAUGUUGGAAAAGACCUCCGCCGAUGGAGGGAGGUGGAACGACUAGGUACCAUCGUCAACGGCGACGACGGGAGUUGCGCCUUGGCUAUUUUGGUGCAACGGUGGCAUAGAAGGCGUCAGGCCUUGGGGUGCGAGCAUGUUGACAUGGUGAGAAGCGGCGCCAAGGGGGUUAGGAUUUUUUUUUUAACUUUUUGAGAAUAGUUUAGGUUAUGAGCUAUUGGGCUUCGGGUUAUUGGAUAUUAGGUUUAGCAAAUGGGUUGGGUUAUUGGACUCUUUUUUGUUUGGGCCAAUCUAUUUUGUAAAUAGACUUUUAUUUAUUUUUUAUUGUUUUGUUUAUUGGGCGGGAUAAAA